rnacentral:rRNA from 1 species
AGAACGAACGCUGGCGGCAGGCUUAACACAUGCAAGUCGAACGCAUCUCUUCGGAGAUGAGUGGCAGACGGGUGAGUAACGCGUGGGAACGUACCCUUUGGUUCGGGAUAACCCGGGGAAACUCGGGCUAAUACCGGAUAAGCCGGAAACGGGAAAGGUUUACUGCCGAAGGAUCGGCCCGCGUCGGAUUAGCUAGUUGGUGUGGUAACGGCGCACCAAGGCGACGAUCCGUAGCUGGUCUGAGAGGAUGAUCAGCCACACUGGGACUGAGACACGGCCCAGACUCCUACGGGAGGCAGCAGUGGGGAAUAUUGGACAAUGGGCGCAAGCCUGAUCCAGCCAUGCCGCGUGAGUGAAGAAGGCCCUAGGGUUGUAAAGCUCUUUCAGCGGGACGAUAAUGACGGUACCCGCAGAAGAAGCCCCGGCUAACUUCGUGCCAGCAGCCGC